AUUACGAAGCUUAUAGCGUUAACCUUUUAAGUUAAAGUUUGAGAUAAUAAGUCUCCGUAGUGAA
rnacentral:tRNA from 1 species